UAACAUGUCACCGGUCACAAGCAGCCUGGCGCUGGGACAACCUCAAGGUUGAUUGUUAGAAAAAAAAUAUAAACCUCGCUUACCUUAAUUUAAAAGAGCGACGGGGCCGCACCGAGUCCACCUCAGGCUAGCCACGAAAGUCCUGCAGGGUACCAAGUGUUGCGGCUAAAGUUAGCUAGCAAGGUUAGCUUCCCCUGCUAACAAGGGGGAGCGAGUCUCCUCUCCGUCUCUCUGCCGUCCAACACCACCCGUUUACGGCAUGGAAAACGGAGCGUGACGUAAGGCCGACAAGAACGUCUACUCGGCCGUGGUCCGACGUCUCAAGUAGCUAUGGGUUGGGACAUCCAUCGGGGUUAGUAGGUGGACCGUAGAUGCGACGGAGAAGGGGGAAAGGAGUGCGCGGCUGGCUGAGCUCCGUCCCUCGCGGCUGCCUCUAGCUGGCCGAGUCCUAGUGUGUGAGAGCGGGGAGGAGGGGAGAGUUCGGCUGCUGAUGUACGGAGGGAACACACAAGCAUCCAGCAUCACUGCUCAUCCCUCCCUUCACUGCCUCAACCCGGAAGAAAUAACACCAUCGAGCCCAUCCUCUGUAUUGGAGAAGUCACAGUAGAAAGAUGGAGUUGGGAAGCUUUAGCCUUUAGCCACACAAACACACGGUGAUUCCUUGUUUAAAAUUCCUGGAGGUGAAACUUUCCUAUGGAUCAGAGCGCGGUCAAGAGAACAUGGAUCUCGACCACAUGUCAACCAGCAGGUUUCGCUGCCGUCGACUCCCCUGAAACACUGCGCGUCAAGACACCCGUGGAGACACCCUUCCGACUACCAGACAAGCGCACUUUCUUCCACACGUCACAUACUGUCACGUCAUACCUCAAAAACGUAUACGCCCUCGCCCAGCAGAGAGGAAGCAGCAUGGGUAACGUUAGCUGUGAUGCUGUGAGCCAUGCGUGUGGUACUACGCGAGAAAGAAGGUGCAAAUGAAGGAAGAAGUAAUUCCAAAGAAAAACAGCAGGGAGUCCAUCGUCUGGCGGUGGUUUGUCUUCAAGUGGGAAUAUGUCGAACAGACAACCGUAAUUUGUCAAGUGUGGUGCUGAAGCGCUGCUAUAAAAAGUAGCAUCACUGCUAAUAUGUAGCAUCAUUUGAAAAGUCACCUGCUAGAGAAUAAAGUGUGUUUGAAACUUGGAAUGUCAACAUCUCCUUUCAGUGCCACACGCCCACAUCAUCAAAAUGGAGAGGCAAACAUUUCCAGAUCAACACCAUAUGAAAAAAAUAUUCAACAACAGAAUUUAAAAACGUCUGUAGUAACCUACCACAUAGCGAAGGAGGAAUACUAUUUGAUUUCCUAUCAUGCAGCUCAUUUUUAUUUGACACUUAAAAGGUCUCUGACAAUCUUGCACUUUCUGUUUUGGAAAUGACAUGAACGUUUGUGCCACUGCUUAGUAGCUGUUUAAUAAAUACACUUUUGGUCAA